rnacentral:rRNA from 1 species
UACGUAGGUGGCAAGCGUUGUCCGGAUUUACUGGGCGUAAAGAGCGCGCAGGCGGUCGAUCAAGUCGCGUGUGAAAGCCCCGGCUCAACUGGGGAGGGUCACGCGAUACUGAUCGACUCGAAGGCAGGAGAGGGAAGUGGAAUCCCGGUGUAGUGGUGAAAUGCGUAGAGUAUCGGGAGGAACACCAGUGGCGAAGGCGGCU